GUCGUAGGGUUCGCUCUGGAAUAUGAAGUUGCGGCUCCAACUGGCGUGUAUUUAUGAUUUAAUCUGGAUUUAAUACUCGUGGGGGAAAGACGUGCCCUGGAAAAUGGAACUCAGCAAUAAUUCUCUUGAAAGUUUGAAGGGAGAAAACGUAUGUGAGAAAAGAGAACUGAGGACGGGAAACAAGAGAAAACAAAAUACAACCAAAAAAAGAAAUACUGGGGACAAAUUUGCUUGACGCUCCCAUUUGAUGGAGAGGCAGGACUCUUUUGCUAAAGAUACCUUAUUCUGAAUAGCAGAAAGGUCUGCCUUCUUCCUGCAUGGCUCACACAUGCAUAAUGCAGGUGAAUUGUGACAGCAACAGAAGAAGCACGUCAAGGAAGUGUUUCCUGAGACUGAACUGAUAGAUUACGGUUCCAUUACUGAAACCGAACAGGCAAACAUGAGAACAAGACACACAAGAUAAGCAACAAUUAAGGAUCUUAAAUAAAUAUGAUGAGAUCCGUAUUGAACGCCGAGUCAAUGGGAAGAGCUGGUCUGUGACCAAACAUCAUCUGUUCUAUGUAAUUGCCCUUUACCAUUCUGUUGCCCCACAAGCGUCUGCCCUGAUGGAUAUUGCCACUUGGUAACUGACUAGGAUGGAUUCCACAAAACACCUUCUUGCAACUAUUUGGGGGCUCAUGAGGAAUUCUAAUUGGAUUAAAUAAUAAAAUCAAUGGAAACCGUAAAGCUUUCCUAUAGUGUAAAUUAUAAAAAGUUUAAAAAAUCA